UGAAACUGCGAAUGGCUCAUUAAAUCAGUUAUCGUUUAUUUGAUAGUACCUUACUACUUGGAUAACCGUGGUAAUUCUAGAGCUAAUACAUGCUAAAAACCCCGACUUCGGAAGGGGUGUAUUUAUUAGAUAAAAAACCAAUGCCCUUCGGGGCUCCUUGGUGAUUCAUAAUAACUUAACGAAUCGCAUAGCCUUGUGCUGGCGAUGGUUCAUUCAAAUUUCUGCCCUAUCAACUUUCGAUUGUAUGGUAUUGGCUUACAAUGGUUUCAACGGGUAACGGGGAAUUAGGGUUCUAUUCCGGAGAGGGAGCCUGAGAAACGGCUACCACAUCCAAGGAAGGCAGCAGGCGCGCAAAUUACCCAAUCCCGACACGGGGAGGUAGUGACAAUAAAUACUG
rnacentral:rRNA from 1 species